rnacentral:lncRNA from 1 species
CAUGACCCCCGAAAGUAGGAUCGCCCACACUAAGCAGUUCAUUAAUGAGAUGAUUGUUCUCUCUGGAAUCAAGCAUAGAAAUGUCGUGAGGCUUUUAGGUUGUUGUUUGGAGACCAAAACGCCUAUAUUAGUGUACGAGUUCGUCAGCAAUGGCACACUUUAUGAGCACAUUCAUAAACAGAAAGACAAAGGACCUCUUUCCUUUGAGCAACGAGUGAAGAUAGCAGCAGAAACAGCAGGAUCCCUAGCAUACUUGCACUACAGCGCUUCUUCCACGCCAAUUCUGCAUCGAGAUGUCAAGGCAUCUAACAUCCUACUGGAUGAGAAUUGCACAGCCAAAGUAUCAGACUUUGGAGCUUCAAAAUUGGUUCCUGAAGAUGAAAAUACUCAAAUGGCUACUUUAGUGCAAGGGACGCUAGGGUACUUGGACCCUGAAUAUCUUCAGUCACACGCACUGACGGAGAAGAGUGAUGUCUAUAGUUUCGGGGUUGUCCUUGUGGAGCUAAUAACAAGUCAAGUGGCAAUUUCUAACAAGAAGCUUGAGGCAGAGAAAAACCUAGCAAACUGUUUUUUAAAGUCGGUGGCAGAUAAUAACUUGGAUCAGAUUCUUGAUCAUGAAAUUAUCAAAGAAGAAAGCUUCGAAAUAGCCGAACAAGUAGCCCAUCUUGCCAAAAGAUGUUUAAGUUUGAAAGGAGAAGAUAGGCCUACCAUGGAAGAAGUAGAAACGGAGCUUAAGGUAAUAUUGGCAGUUAUGGCAAAGCAUCCAGGAGGAAAGCCUGACUCCUCCCCCAAAGAGACAGAUUACUUGCUUAGAGCGUCACCUUCAAACGCUUACGUUGUUGAUGUUAGAAGUGAUGAAGGUGAAGUCAUAACCAGCAUAGAUUAUGACAAGAGCAUGCAGAAUCAAGCCCAGAUGAUGAAGCCUUAUGAUGGUGGGAGAUAGUUCAUCAAUUGGCAAGCUAGCUUCGAAUCUCUUUCAUAGCUAGUUAUGUAUGGAGUUGUUCUUUUGAGUGUGUUGUGUUUAAUAAAAGAUAAUGUAAUCAUACUGCUGCAGUUGAGUGCAAUGCUGCAUGCAUGUAUUGACAGUAAGUCAGUAAUAUCGGUCCGUCGUAAAUUUUCCUUCUGGCCAAAAUGUGAGUGGUAAAAUAUUACUAAUUGCCUUGUUUUAGUAACAGAAGAGGAAAACUAAGUAUUACAAUUACUUGAGCUGAUUGGAUAUCACUGCAUCAACACCGUGUUCACCGUUCAACCGUCCGGAAAUAAUAGAUAAACACCUCGAUGAACAUGAGGCACAUGAACAACAUUAUUGGAGCAGACAGAUAAGCAUAGACGACUCCAGCAUAUGCAUGAUGGAAGCCGGAGCCCUAUCGAUCGAGUUGGUGACGUAGAAGGGAUUUACCUGCUUCUUCUUUAUUCAUCACUCCCUAUCACUUAAGCAAGCCAAUACUUUACUUUAUGUACAAGUUUUGUAGUGGUAUAUAUGAACGUGGGAAAAUUCUAUAAUGAGUUAAUGCAUGUCAUGUAUCAAUUCUGUCAUAAAGUUGUAAAAUGAGUUCUUAAAAGUCUUGAAAGUUGUAAUAUGAGUCUUUAAAGUUGUAAAAAAAUAUAAUUACAACAUCAGUCCUCAUGUAUCGUUAAAGUGGUAAAAUGUGUGCUUAAAGCCUAAAAGUGAUAAUUGAAUCCCCAAAUGAUAAAAGAAAAGUUGAUGUAACUUUAAGGACUCAAUUACUAAUUUAAGGACACAUGAGGAAUAAUGUUGUAACUAAAAUUUUAUAACUUUGAAGACUAAUAUUACUACUAUGAGAACUUAUUUUACAAUUUUGAAGACUAAUAUUACUACUAUGAGAACUUAUUUUACAACUUUAGAACAUAAUUAAUAUAUGACAUGCAUUAACACGUACACCCUAGCCUUACCCAUGAAUGUGUGAUAACAAAUGAUUGUAUAUUAUACGUUUGAUUAAUUAGUCUAGUUAGUAAAUUAUAUGUAAAUGAAACGUACGAGUUCUUCACGUCGAUUUUAUUUCAGGUUAACAUACAUGUCGACCAAAACCAAUUCAGUACGUUAAUGGAGUUUCUUUCCCCUGCAACCAAAGCAGUACGUAGCUUUUUUCAAAGAGACCCUUUAAGAAUUAAUUCUACGAAGGAAGAAGAAUGGUCUCGCAAUUUUCACAUCUCUCUUUAUUAAGUAGUCCCUCCAUGAGUGACUGAUUAAAUGCGAAAUGAUUAAUGGGAAGAUCAAGGCUAUCAAUUUUCAUGAAGCGAACAAAGAGAACAAGAAAUAUGUUCACGUUUACUUAACAAUUUUCUUGCUUCAGCAAUACUUGCGCGUUAUGAACAUAACCAGGUUAUUGCUUGCUUUCUCACUUGGCCGGGUCAACUUAAUUUCUUACAGUACGUGUAUAGUAUUAACUUUCAUUACCAAGUAAAAACUAAAAUUUGUGACACUAGCUAGGCCUUUGUUGACUUUCUGGGCAUUUGUCAUGACAGCAAGAGCAAUAAUCGGGUCUUUGUCAUUUGCAAAAUAUACCAAGGAAAAAAGAAAGACUGAGCAAAUGAACUAAUCGACAAUUUGACAUCGCAUUUGCAUACUAUAGAGUAUAGACUCGAUAUUAAAAUAAAGAAGUGAAACUCCUUUCAUUUGUUUAGUAGGCAUACCAUCUCCAUCUAUAUAUCACCAUUCAAGCUAACCUUAGCUUCUCACAACUUCAAACACAAACAAUCAAAUUAGCCGUGCCAAUGGCCUUACAUGGGAGAAUGCUUCUUUUGCAACUGAUCUCUUUGGCCGCAGUACUGCUGUUAGCAUCCUCAAUGCUAGCAGCUGCUCAAUCCCCGCCGCCUGACUGCAAGGAAACCUGUGGUGGCGUCUCAAUUCCAUAUCCAUUUGGUCUCACUGACGGUUGUUACCUACAUGUGCCGGGACAAGAUUCACAGCAAUUCAAGCUCGCUUGCGACACCACCGCCACCUCGCAACCGUCCCUAAAUUUCUUGGAUAGCUAUAACUUCCCCACAAACAUUUCCAACAUUUUCGCGGGUGAGAGUGCGCUGCAAGUAAUGUUGACCACGUCCCGAAACUGCUACAACGACACUGUAUACAACUCCUCCUUGCACAGAGCCAGUUACCUAUAUCUUCCGCCUUCUUACACCCUCGCCGACAAAAACAAGGUUUAUAACAUUGGCUGCAACAAAGCAACGAAGCUCGUAGGUUAUCCUCUUCAUGUUACAGGCCCUGAACAGCUCUUUGAAGUAGCGCUCAGCGGUGUAAGCUUGUGCAACGAUGAAUUUGGCAAAAGAUUCCCCGAGACUUGCACCGGAUUCGGAUGCUCCGUAAAUUCUAUCCCUAGUGGACUGCAAAAUAUUACGGUCGAUGUGUGGUCACUCGGUACCGGCCUCGGAACAUCGGCGCCGUGGGGACUGAGUUACCCUUGCAGUUACGGCUUCGUUGUGGAUGAACGCAACUUUACAUUCGCCGGGAAUCGAAGUUUUGAUGAACUGAAUCGCACAAGAUUGGAGCUUCCGGUGCUUGCUAGUUGGGCGAUUGGGAAUGACAACUGCGAAGCAGCAAAGAAGAAGAACGAGACAGCUUUCGCAUGCAAGGGUGAGAAUACGGAGUGUGUCGACCGCGCUGGUGGUUACUUCUGCCAGUGUUGGGAUGGCUACGAAGGGAACCCAUACCUCCUCAAAGAUUGCGUAGGUAAUACACAAAUCAUCUUAAUUUCGUGUUAAUUUGUGAUGUAUAUAAGUGAUGGUUUCUAGAUUUGCUUUACAUAUAACUAUACUUUUUUGUUUUCAGAUGUCGAUGAGUGCAAGAAUAAUUCAACCCUUUGCAGUGGUCCUGCAACUUGCGUAAACUCAAUUGGAAGUUACAAAUGUAAAUGUCACAAGGGCUAUAGAAAUGAUGACAACGACAAGAAUAAGUGUGUCAAAAUCAACGAAACCUCCAGCAAAAAUGAUACAGAAAUGAAAAUUUCCUUGGGUAUGCACUCUCUUUUCUCUUUUUUUUGUCGAAGCACUCUUAUAUUCAUUAUUGACAAAUUAUCAAUUUUAUCUAUCAAUUCAUAAAUUUGUCAACUCUUGUUUAAGUAUUACGUUGGUGCUCAUAUUUACCUUUAAAAUUGAUAGAUUUUAACUUUUUAAAAAAUAAUAAUAAUAAUAAGGGUAAAAUAUUGUAUAGUCCUUGUGGUUUGAAGUCGACAUUUGUUCAGUCAUUAUGGUUUUAUUUUAAUCUGAAUAAUCCUUAAAGUCAUGAUUUUUCAUCAAAAUAGUCUUUAUGACCUUUAAUUAACUGAGAAAAUGAAUCGGAAAGACUAUUUGGAUGAAAAAUCAUGACUUUAAGGACUAUUCAGAUUAAAAUAAAACUAUAAUGACUAUUUGGAUGAAAAAUUGUGACUUUAAGGACUAUUCAGAUUAAAAUAAAACCACAAGGACUAAACAUAUGUCAACUUCAAACCAUAAGAUCUAAACAAAUUUCAAUUCUAGUGAUAAUAACUCUGCUGGAGAUGCUCUUAAUUAAAGUCAAGUUGUAGGAGUGGAUUUGAGUACGUUGUGCUGAUCCGCUCUUUUGAAUUUUUGCAGGUGUCUCUUUGAGCUUCCUAGUCAUACUGAUUAUAACUUUUUCGAUAUACUGCGUACUGAAAAGAAGAAAGUUCAAGCAGCUAUGUGACAGGUACUACGAAGUCAAUGGGGGCUUCUUGUUACCACAAGAAAUGCAAAAGUACAAAGGGUCUCAGGCACCCAGAAUAUUUAAAUUAGCAGAGCUUAACAAGGCAACCAACAAGUUUGAUCCCCAUGAAAUAAUUGGAGAAGGAGGCUUUGGAUUGGUUUACAAGGGAACAUUGCCGGACAACAAGCAGGUGGUUGCUAUAAAGAAGUCAAAAACUGAUGCUCCCACCAUGACCCCCGAAAGUAGGAUCGCCCACACUAAGCAGUUCAUUAAUGAGAUGAUUGUUCUCUCUGGAAUCAAGCAUAGAAAUGUCGUGACCCUCUUAGGUUGUUGUUUGGAGACCAAAACGCCUAUAUUAGUGUACGAGUUGGUCAGCAAUGGCACGCUUUAUGAGCACAUUCAGAAAAAGAAAGGCAAAGGACCUCUUUCCUUUGGGCAACGAGUGAAGAUAGCAGCAGAAACAGCAGGAUCCCUGGCAUACUUGCACUCCCGCGCUUCUUCCACGCC